UUUUAUAUCAGUAUAUUGAUUAAAUCGUCUCAGUAGAAAUGUAGAUUCUUAUGAAUCCAACAACUACAAUUAAAAUCAAAUCAAAACUAAACCAAUUGUUCUGAGUUUUCUUUCUUCUCUUCUUCUUCUUCUUCUUCAACGACAACAUGGAUAAUGAGAAGAUCGUGUUACAAACCCUAGAUAUGGGAUUUUGUAAUCGCUGGAAUUGAUGAUUAUAUGGAGCAGAGGGGAAAGGGAAAAAAAAGAAGAAGAGAGAAGUUCAAUAGAAGUGGUGGUGGUGGUUUUUCUUAACUUCAUAAGAAAAGAUGAACAUCCCAAAACUUGGUAGGAUGAGUUUUCUAGAAACACUACUGGCAUGGGUUUUCAUUUGUGUUAUUCAUGUACAAUAUGUAUUGAUGGGGUUUUAUUAUGAUUUAUGUUGAUCUUGUUUGUUGUGUUUAUUAUGCAGUGUAAUUAGAUUCGAAUCUACUGAGGUUAUAUAUAGAAUGUUUCUAGGGUAAUGUAUUCUUAAAUGAAUUUGUUUUUAUCAUUAAUGUUCAUUGUCGUAUAUUCGUGUAAAAGCAUUUUAGAGCUCUUCUUAUCAAUGGGAUUAAAUCUCCACAGUGAGAUAGAAGGACAAUCACAUUGGAAUUUACUAAGAAUGAUUUUAUUAAGCAAGGCAAUGAUUGGUGGGAUAAGAACGAUUUUACCAAGCAAGGCAAUGAUUGUAGGCAUGAACUGUUUCAGGUUUUGGUCGAAUCAGUGACUUAGUGAGUGAGUUUGGAAAAUUGGUGGUUGAUCCAAAAACCAAUGAACUUCUGCAGUUCAUGGAGAAACCCGAGACUUUUGUAUGUACAAGCCCCUAAAAUUAGCUGACUUUUUCGAUCAUAUUUAAGUCACACGGUGUUUCAUAUUCAAGUGGUUGGUUCUGUUUCUCUUUAUAACGUGUUUUAAUGAGCAGACGUACUCACUCAUUGCAGUAUGAAUUUGAAUUAGAUCAUGUCCUGGAACACAUACAAUAAUGUGGGUACCUAAAUUGUGUUGCUCACUGAACUAGCAGGACCAGAGCUAAUCAUGGACGUUUAUCCACCUUUUUUGUUCAGUCUGCAACAAAGUAAGGCCAUUCCCUACUGAUUUACGAAGACUAAAUGAAGAUAUCAUGUCACCUCUUGCUGGGAAGACAAGUAGCUUUAUACUUAUGUGAAGUUAUAUUUCUUGGAACACAUCAAAACUCCUAAGAAGGCCAAUCUGCAAGUAAAGGAAUGUCACAUCAUCCAUCUGUUUUACUUGUUUUAGUUUUAUUUUUUAACGUCCAACAAUUGUUUGUUGGAAUCUAGGUACUAGUCUUGAAUUUUUGUUGUGUUUAGAUUUUCUUUGUGUUGCUUCCAGUUGCUAGAAUGUAAUAAAUUUUGACCCUGUAAUUCUUUUUUGAAUGAAUAAACGUGUUGUUUGAAUGGU